rnacentral:lncRNA from 1 species
AUUUUUACUAAAUAGUUUUUGACUGACACAGAUCACAAAGAACUUCGAAUGAUACUGUGCACAGUAUUUCAAGAAUAGAUUUUACUAGUCAUUUCUGCACUGCCUUGCAGCUAAUACGCUUCUUAAAGUCGUUGUUGCUCCGUACUAAAGAACUCCUUAGUUAACAAAGUUUGAAUUCCUUCUUCACUUCGAAGAGUUAAUCUUCUCGCUUUGACUUUCAUCCCAACAACAUUAAGAGAAUGGUAGCGACGGAAUACGACUUGAGGAAAACUAACGAACGUCAAUUGAUCAACGAUGUGAGGCAACGUAAAAUUACCAGAAGUUCGCCAGCUCGUCACCGAGAAUUUGUUCCAUUUCUAGGCUUGAUACUGGUUGUUUUAGCAAUGCUCGCCUACUACCUCGGAACAACGCAACGAUUCACAAUGAAAGGUCAUCUUGUCAA